GACGAACGCUGGCGGCGUGCCUAAUACAUGCAAGUCGAGCGCUGAAGCCCGGUACUUGUUCCUAUCGCAUGAGCAGCGAACGGGUGAGUAACGCGUGGAGAAUCUGCCUUUGAGUGGGGGACAACAUUGGGAAACGAACGCUAAUACCGCAUAAUAUCUUGAAACACAUGUUUUAAGUUUGAAAGACGCAAUUGCAUCACUUAAUGAUGAUCUCGCGUCGUAUUAGGUAGUUGGUGAGGUAAAGGCUCUCCAAGGCGAUGAAAGAUAGCCGACCUGAGAGGGUGGUCCGCCGGAUUGGGACUGAGACCCGGCCCAAAGUGCUACGGGGAGGAGCCAGAGGGAAACUUCGGGAAUAGGCGGAAAUCUGAGCGAACAAGGCCGCGGGAGUGUAGAAGGUUUUCGGGUCCUGAAAGUCGGUUGGUAGGGUAGAAAGUUAGUGAGAGUGGAAAGCUCAUCGAGUGACGGUAACUAGUCAGAAAGGGACGGCUAACUACGUG
rnacentral:rRNA from 1 species